CUUUCUCGCUGACGACCGGCGCACGGGUGAGUAACACGUAUGCAACCUACCUUUUACAGGGGGAUAGCCCAGAGAAAUCUGGAUUAAUACCCCAUAACAUUAAGUUUUCGCAUGUUAACUUAAUUAAAGCUUCGGCGGUAAAAGAUGGGCAUGCGGCCCAUUAGUUUGUUGGUGAGGUAACGGCUCACCAAGACUACGAUGGGUAGGGGUUCCGAGAGGAUUGUCCCCCACACUGGUACUGAGACACGGACCAG
rnacentral:rRNA from 1 species